rnacentral:rRNA from 1 species
GAUGAACGCUGGCGGCGUGCCUAAUACAUGCAAGUCGAACGCAUUGAGAGAAGUGCUUGCACAUUUCAAUUUGAGUGGCGAACGGGUGAGUAACACGUGGGCAACCUACCUGAUAGCGGGGGAUAACGAGUGGAAACAUUCGCUAAUACCGCAUAACAAUAGAGAAGGCAUCUUCUUUAUUUAAAAGGCGCUUUCAAGCGUCACUAUCAGAUGGGCCCGCGGUGCAUUAGUUAGUUGGUGGGGUGAAGGCCUACCAAGACGAUGAUGCAUAGCCGAGUUGCGAGACUGAUCGGCCACAUUGGGACUGAGACACGGCCCAAACUCCUACGGGAGGCUGCAGUAGGGAAUCUUCCACAAUGGACGAAAGUCUGAUGGAGCAACGCCGCGUGUGUGAUGAAGGCUUUCGGGUCGUAAAGCACUGUUGUAUGGGAAGAAAUGCUAGGCUAGGAAAUGAGCUUAGUUUGACGGUACCAUACCAGAAAGGGACGGCUAAAUACGUGCCAGCCGCCGCAGUAA